rnacentral:rRNA from 1 species
AGCAGUAGCCGCGGUAACACGUAGGGGGCAAGCGUUAUCCGGAAUAACUGGGCGUAAAGGGUGCGCAGGUGGUUUAACAAGUUAGUGGUGAAAGGCAUAGGCUCAACCAAUGUAAGCCAUUAAAACUGUUUAACUUGAGUGCAGGAGAGGAAAGUGGAAUUCCUAGUGUAGCGGUGAAAUGCGUAGAUAUUGGGAGGAACACCGGCGGCGAAGGCGGCUUACUGGACGACAACUGACGUUGAGGCUCGAAGGCGUGGGUAGCAAACAGGAUUAGAUACCCCGGUAGUCCCUGUCUCUUAUACA